AACCAAAUCAAUAAAUACAUAUAGUAUACCGAAAACAUAACAAAACCCCAAACGAAACCCUAAAAUACACUGUUUAUGAAUUUGCAAUAGAUUUGCAAGGGAAUCCUCGCACUCCCCUUGCAAAUUUGCGAGGGAUUUGCAACGGACAUACCUAGUAUAUAAACACAUUAACCGACAAAAGGUAAACAUAAAAAAGAAAAAAUCCUAUUGGCCAAUACACAUUUCACAUGGAUCACCAUUCCAGCCGUUAAAUUGAAUUUCAAUCAAUAGACAAGAUUUUUUAUUUUCUAUUUUCUUAUUUCUACGAAUGAUCUCUUAAUUAUCUUCUCCGUCUUCUUACAGCUCUCUCUCUCUCUUUCAUCUUCUGUUCUUUUUUUUUUUUUUUUGAUUAAUCUGGAGGGACUUCCACCCCAGGGCUAACCCCUCGGCGCGAAGCGGACCAUUUGGUACUAUGGGGAAUUAGAUACCCCAAUUGCCUGGCCAGCACAUCGAAUCCGCGUAUUCCGUAUUGGGGAUUUUUAUUUCCCCUCAAGACCAUCUAGGCCAGCUACGCUGAUUAUCUUCUGUUCUUUUCUCUUCAUAUUUUAAGAUAUCUUUUCCUUCCUCUGUUCUUCAUUAUCUUCUCCAUCUUCUGCUCACCACUUUCUUCGCGGUUACCACUUCUGUCGCUGUCACCGCUGCUGUCUCCGUCAUCUAAGAAACAAACGCCUCUGUGCUUGACGAAGCACCGACUCGUAGCAGUGGAGGCAACCGACCUUCUUCUUCUUCUUCUUCUUCAGAUUUUGUCCAUAUCCCUCGCCGUCACGUUUUGCUCUCUGUCCAAGACUCACCGGAGAUGAAGAUCCGUACUAGUCGUCACCACUCUAGCUUCUCACCUCUCUUUUCAGAAUUCAAUAUUAAAAGGUGUGGAGGACGAAGAAGAACUCGACGGUGGUGGGAUUUGAGAGGAGCGGAUCUGGAAGGUGGAUGCGAUGGCCGGAAGUAGAAGCAUCGAUGGUGGCUGAAGCGUUGAGAGUGCGGUGGACAAAGACGACUGGAGGAGGACGACAGCGGCGGCUUAGAUUUAGGUUUCUUGUAUUUUGUUUGUAUUUAUGUUUAUAUAUUUACAUAUUUGUUUUUAUUAAUUAUAUCAAAUUGUUUUUUUUUUAUUUAACCGUCGGAAUAGAUACAUUUUCCUUUAGUGUACCGGUUUCAAUAUAUAUAGUAUUUUUUUUAUUUCUUA